AGCAAAAUGAAGUUUUAAUAAGUGAAUAUUAUGCUGAUUCCUAAUGUAAAUGGUCUUCAAAGUUCUCUGAUUGCU